UACAGAGGUCUCAAGCGUUGUUCGGAUUCAUUGGGCGUAAAGGGUGCGUAGGCGGCGCGGUAAGUCGGGUGUGAAAUCUCGGAGCUUAACUCCGAAACUGCAUUCGAUACUGCCGUGCUUGAGGACUGGAGAGGAGACUGGAAUUUACGGUGUAGCGGUGAAAUGCGUAGAUAUCGGGAGGAACACCAAUGGCGAAGGCAGCUCGCUGGGACGUUACUGACGCUGAGACGCGAAAGCGUGGGGAGCAAACAGG
rnacentral:rRNA from 1 species